rnacentral:rRNA from 1 species
GACGAACGCUGGCGGUAUGCUUUAACACAUGCAAGUCGAACGAGAAGUCUUUUAUUGAACCUUCGGGGGAUAUAAGAGACAGACAGUGGCGAACGGGUGAGUAACGCGUGGGCAACCUACCUAUCGGAGCGGGAUAGCCUCGAGAAAUCGGGAGUAAAACCGCAUAACACGGAUAUAUCGCAUGAUGAAUCCGUCAAAACUCCGGUGCCGAUAGAUGGGCCCGCGUCUGAUUAGCUAGUUGGUAAGGUAAGGGCUUACCAAGGCAACGAUCAGUACCGGUCUGAGAGGGCGAACGGCCACACUGGAACUGAGACACGGUCCAGACUCCUACGGGAGGCAGCAGUGGGGAAUAUUGCGCAAUGGGGGCAAACCCCUGACGCCAGCAAAUACCGCGUGAGUGAAAGAAAGCUUU